UUAUGAAAUUUUUGGAGAAUACAAAGAUUUGAGAGACCUUUGGGGCAUCCAAAAAUCAAAAAGAAAGACCUUUAGGUCAUGGAGAUAUAAUAGACACAAAACAAGGUAUCUAGGAGAGAGUAAAGAGAAGAAGAAGAGGGUCUUCUUCUAGGGUUGUUAGUUUCAUCUCUUCCCUUCCUCCAUCUUGAGUUUUCUGAGAGCAUCUUAGAUCUAAAACUCCUACUUUUCAUCUUUUGAAGAGUCCAAAUCAAGAAGAAAGAGAAGAAGGAUCAGCGCAGUACUAGCAUACUGUGCUGAUUUCUUGAAGUAGGACUUCUGGUCGAGAUUCGUGGGCUCAUGUGGAUGACUCCUAAAGAUCGGAUGCAUGUGCGGUUUGCAACAUCAUCCUCAAACCCGAAUCAGUAAGGUUAGAAUGUCUAACUUGCAAGGUAAUAGAUCUGAUCUAUUGUUUAACACAUACAUUAGAUGUAGUAUAGAAACAUGUUGAUAUGAUCAACAUAUGUUUAUGCUCUAUAUAUUUUAAUUUUUGAUUUAAUACUAUGUAAUAAUCAUGUAAUAGAAUCUUAGAUCUAGAGAUUCUCUGAUUUUAAAAAAUAAAUUUUGAUUUAUUUUAAUCUUCCGCUAUUUGAUCUUGAAAAAGUUUCAAGAUCUAAUCCUGAAACCCUAGAUCAGGUUCCUUCAGACCUAUCUUGACAUGGGUGUGUCUUGCUUAUGAGCAUAAAUUCAAAUCAAUUAAAAUAUUCAAAUGAUUCUGUAAUGAGAUAGAAAAAUAAACUAUAAAUAGUAUUAAAACUCAUCGAUCGACUGAUGAAGUGAAUACCUUUAUAGUAAGUUUUGACAUAUCUUAGAGAAAAUUAGAUUCUCUCUUAAUGGACCUCUCCUAGGACAUCACUAUUUUAAAAAAACGUCUGAAAGAGAGAAUUAAAACUUGUUAGACAUGCUUCAAUCCAUUGUGGGGUUGGCCGGUCUGCCUGAGAUUAUGUUUUAGAGACUACUUGAUAUGUGCUCAGAACAUUUUGAGCAAAUCAGUCACCAAAAACUUCAUAUGGGAUAUGGACUUAGAUAAUUCGAUAUUUUCUUACUUUAAUAUUUGGGGUGUCAAGCUUAUGUGAAAUAUUCACAAACCGACUAAUUUGGAUCUUGGUCUGAUAAAUAUUAUAUUAAGGAUAUUUUUUCUACCUUCUUGAUGGACAUGAGAUGUUCAUGAAUCUUAAGGUAUUCUUUUUGAAAAAGAAAUUUUUUGAUGAAGGAACUGAUGCUGCUAAGACCAAGCUUGAUGAAACUUGAUAGGUAGAGGAACCAACUCUGACACAAACCAACAGAACCAAAGUUAAUUAGAUCAAAUUCGGAGUCCGAUGUAAAGGCAUCUUUGAGUAGAUAUAGUAGAGUACCAUAUCAAUCAAACAAAUACUUCAAUUUCUAGAUUCAGGAUGGAAAUUUGAUCUCCCAUACGGAUGCUAUACAGGGAUUUAACUUUGAGAAGUGGCUUGGAGCCAUUAAAUCUGAAAUGAAGUCCAUCAAGAUCGACGAUGUAUGGACAUUCGUUGAUUCACCUGAAGGGAUAAGACCCAUAAGGUGUGAGUAGAUUUCAGAUGGAUAAGAGACAUAGACAGAAAGGUGGAGAUCUAUUAAUUUUGUCCGAUUGUCAAAAGAUUUCAUCAAAGUUAUAGUGUUGACUAUGAUGAAAUAUUUUCCUUACGGUAAUCCUU
rnacentral:lncRNA from 1 species